rnacentral:rRNA from 1 species
GAGGGGGCAAGCGUUGCUCGGAAUUACUGGGCGUAAAGGGCGCGUAGGCGGGAUGGCAAGUCGGUCGUGAAAUCCCUCGGCUCAACCGAGGAACGUCGAUCGAUACUGCUGUUCUUGAGGAUUGCAGAGGAGACUGGAAUUCCCGGUGUAGCGGUGAAAUGUGUAGAGAUCGGGAGGAACACCGGUGGCGAAGGCGGGUCUCUGGGCAAUUCCUGACGCUGAGGCGCGAAAGCGUGGGGAGCAAACGGG